UCAGACAACCGUGAGACCAUCUCAGACAUUAGACAUGUCUGACAACGAUCCCCUACAGCCUUACAUAAGGCCACUCUACAGAGAAGCUUACCAGGCCGUUAAUAAUCUCACGGUGUCUCCUUAGAACUCAAGGAAGCAGAGGUACCAUCCUAUAGAACAGAUCCUGUUCAAGUAAGGUCCU
rnacentral:snoRNA from 1 species